AAGAUUUUAAGUUAAAUAAACUAGAAGCCUUCAAAGCUUAAAAUAAAAUAUUUUUAAAUCUUA
rnacentral:tRNA from 1 species